rnacentral:rRNA from 2 species
AGUAGGGAAUCUUCCACAAUGGACGAAAGUCUGAUGGAGCAACGCCGCGUGAGCGAUGAAGGCCUUCGGGUCGUAAAGCUCUGUUGUUAGGGAAGAACAAGUACCGGAGUAACUGCCGGUACCUUGACGGUACCUAACCAGAAAGCCACGGCUAACUACGUGCCAGCAGCCGCGGUAAUACGUAGGUGGCAAGCGUUGUCCGGAAUUAUUGGGCGUAAAGCGCGCGCAGGCGGUCCUUUAAGUCUGAUGUGAAAGCCCACGGCUCAACCGUGGAGGGUCAUUGGAAACUGGGGGACUUGAGUGCAGAAGAGGAAAGCGGAAUUCCACGUGUAGCGGUGAAAUGCGUAGAGAUGUGGAGGAACACCAGUGGCGAAGGCGGCUUUCUGGUCUGUAACUGACGCUGAGGCGCGAAAGCGUGGGGAGCAAACAGGAUUAGAUACCCUGGUAGUCCACGCCGUAAACGAUGAGUGCUAAGUGUUAGGGGGUUUCCGCCCCUUAGUGCUGCAGCUAACGCAUUAAGCACUCCGCCUGGGGAGUACGGCCGCAAGGCUGAAACUCAAAG